rnacentral:rRNA from 1 species
GAGAAGCUUGCUUCUCUGAUGUUAGCGGCGGACGGGUGAGUAACACGUGGAUAACCUACCUAUAAGACUGGGAUAACUUCGGGAAACCGGAGCUAAUACCGGAUAAUAUUUUGAACCGCAUGGUUCAAAAGUGAAAGACGGUCUUGCUGUCACUUAUAGAUGGAUCCGCGCUGCAUUAGCUAGUUGGUAAGGUAACGGCUUACCAAGGCAACGAUGCAUAGCCGACCUGAGAGGGUGAUCGGCCACACUGGAACUGAGACACGGUCCAGACUCCUACGGGAGGCAGCAGUAGGGAAUCUUCCGCAAUGGGCGAAAGCCUGACGGAGCAACGCCGCGUGAGUGAUGAAGGUCUUCGGAUCGUAAAACUCUGUAUUAGGGAAGAACAUAUGUGUAAGUAACUGUGCACAUCUUGACGGUACCUAAUCAGAAAGCCACGGCUAACUACGUGCCAGAAGCCGGGUAAUACGUAGGUGGCAAGCGUUAUCCGGAAUUAUUAGGCGUAAAGCGCGCGUAGGCGGUUUUUUAAGUCUGAUGUGAAAGCCCACGGCUCAACCGUGGAGGGUCAUUGGAAACUGGAAAACUUGAGUUCCAGAAGAGGCCCAGUGGAAUUCCAUGUGUAGCAGGUGUAUAAUGCUGCAGAGAUAUGGAGGUACACCAGUGUGCGAAGGCGACUUUCUGGUCUGUAACUGACGCUGAUGUGCGAUAAGCGUGGGGAUCAAUACAGGAUUAGAUACCACUGUUAGUCCACGCCGUAAACGAUGACUCCUAAUGUUAGGGG